rnacentral:rRNA from 1 species
UACGAAGGGGGCUAGCGUUGCUCGGAAUCACUGGGCGUAAAGCGCACGUAGGCGGCUUUCUAAGUCAGGGGUGAAAUCCUGGAGCUCAACUCCAGAACUGCCUUUGAUACUGGCGAUCUCGAGUUCGGGAGAGGUGAGUGGAACUGCGAGUGUAGAGGUGAAAUUCGUAGAUAUUCGCAAGAACACCAGUGGCGAAGGCGGCUCACUGGCCCGAUACUGACGCUGAGGUGCGAAAGCGUGGGGAGCAA